rnacentral:siRNA from 1 species
CCAUGUAUGGAUGCCCUGUCGA